rnacentral:rRNA from 1 species
UACGUAGGGCGCAAGCGUUGUCCGGAAUUAUUGGGCGUAAAGAGCUCGUAGGCGGCUUGUCACGUCGGGUGUGAAAGCCCGGGGCUUAACCCCGGGUCUGCAUUCGAUACGGGCUAGCUAGAGUGUGGUAGGGGAGAUCGGAAUUCCUGGUGUAGCGGUGAAAUGCGCAGAUAUCAGGAGGAACACCGGUGGCGAAGGCAGGUCUCUGGGCCACUACUGACGCUGAGGAGCGAAAGCAUGGGGAGCGAACAGG